rnacentral:rRNA from 1 species
GUGGAUUAGAUACCCUAGUAGUCCACGCCGUAAACGAUGAGUACUAGGUGUAGGGGGUAUCGACUCCCCCUGUGCCGCAGUUAACACAAUAAGUACUCCGCCUGGGAAGUACGAUCGCAAGAUUAAAACUCAAAGGAAUUGACGGGGGCCCGCACAAGCAGCGGAGCAUGUGGUUUAAUUCGAAGCAACGCGAAGAACCUUACCUAGACUUGACAUCCCCUGCAUUACUCGUAACUGAGGAAGUCCUUCGGGACAGGGAGACAGGUGGUGCACGGUCGUCGACAACU